rnacentral:rRNA from 1 species
AGUGGACGCUGGCGGUAGGCCUAACACAUGCAAGUCGAACGGCAGCACAGUAAGAGCUUGCUCUUACGGGUGGCGAGUGGCGGACGGGUGAGGAAUACAUCGGAAUCUACUUUUUCGUGGGGGAUAACGUAGGGAAACUUACGCUAAUACCGCAUACGACCUACGGGUGAAAGCAGUGGAUCUUCGGACCUUGCGCGAUUGAAUGAGCCGAUGUCGGAUUAGCUAGUUGGCGGGGUAAAGGCCCACCAAGGCGACGAUCCGUAGCUGGCCUGAGAGGAUGAUCAGCCACACUGGAACUGAGACACGGUCCAGACUCCUACGGGAGGCAGCAGUGGGGAAUAUUGGACAAUGGGCGAAAGCCUGAUCCAGCCAUACCGCGUGGGUGAAGAAGGCCUUCGGGUUGUAAAGCCCUUUUGUUGGGAAAGAAAAGCAGCAGGUUAAUACCCCGCUGUUCUGACGGUACCCAAAGAAUAAGCACCGGCUAACUUCGUG